UACGUAGGGGGCAAGCGUUGUCCGGAAUUAUUGGGCGUAAAGCGCGCGCAGGCGGCUCUUUAAGUCUGGUGUUUAAUCCCGAGGCUCAACUUCGGGUCGCACUGGAAACUGGAGGGCUUGAGUGCAGAAGAGGAGAGUGGAAUUCCACGUGUAGCGGUGAAAUGCGUAGAGAUGUGGAGGAACACCAGUGGCGAAGGCGACUCUCUGGGCUGUAACUGACGCUGAGGCGCGAAAGCGUGGGGAGCAAACAGG
rnacentral:rRNA from 1 species